AUCAAACGAAGGAAUGAGUAGAGAAACGAAUCUGGGGCAUUGUGAAAUUAUGAAGGUACCUCCCUAUCUCUCUACAUAGGUUGACAAUUUGAGUCCCACUACCAUAUAAUAUAUAUUCUUACAUGCAUAAUCUCCAUUCCAUUAUUAUAACAACAAAACAAUAGAACUCACAUAUAUGCUUGCUGCUAGAAUCCCAUGGCAGUGGGAAACACAUCAAAGAGGAUGAUUCGCUUGUGCUUCGCCACCCAUUAACGUACCAAUUCUAACUAUUGCUAGCUACUACUUUAAUUUUCUUUUCAUUUAUAUGCUUCCUCUUGCGUUAGUAGGUUCUCACUUUACAUGUAUUUCAAUUAUUGGGUUAUAUGCUUCCUCUUGCGUUAGUAGGUUCUCACUUUACAUGUAUUUCAAUUAUUGGGCACACUUUUGCUCUGUGCUAUCUUUACUUGUGUCUCAGCAGAAGUAUUCCGUGACAUAUAUAUUAUCAUUAGAAAUAAAUGUUCUCUUGGUCACUACAAAUGUAUGAUCAUUUUUGUUGUUAAAUUUGAUAUUAAGAGUGUAUAUUAAAUAAAAUUAUUUUUAAUAUAAUCAUUUCAAUCCAUCAAAUACAACUGUGAGUGAUCAAAUAUUCUUAAACACUAGAUAAUCGAGGAAAUAUGACUUUUAAUUAUGCCCAAUAAGCUAGUGUGGGAUUUUGCUCAUUCAAAGAUUGCUUUAUCUUAUUGGAAAAGGAAAUAAAAUUAGAAAAAAAAAAAUGAGAAGAUCAUGAUUGGAUAUUAAGAAGUUCUUUUUAGUUGUAUCAGCCCACAUGAACUGUCUCCCACUCCAUGUUUGCUUAAUUCAUGUGGCUAGAGAAGAGAGAUGGACGUGCAUCACAUAGUGUCAACUCCUUGCUUACCAAAUAUUGCAAUUCUAACUUUUAUUUAAAGAGAGAUGGGUGGAUAUAUAGAAUGGUGGGUGGUUUUUAAUUUGUUUUGUUGGUUAAUUAAUUGGGAUAGAUUAAUUAGAAGAGAUGUCCACUAUAUUUCUCGAAUUGCAUAUGUAAUUAGUGUUGGAUUAGCAGUAAUUUCCUUUGUUUUCUCUGUUUGUUUUGUGAUAAAGGAAAAGAGAAAGGGAAAAAGAAAAGUAGGUGGAAAACAUGCACCAUUGGAGGAGUAAUGCUAGUAGUAGAAUUCAAUUCAAAAGAGUUAUAAUGGUGCCACGAGAAUAUAAUUCAUCAACAAGAAUCCGGAUAUCUUUGCUUAACUAGAAAGUUGAUGUGGAGUGUGU
rnacentral:lncRNA from 1 species